AGUAAAAGUCGUAACAAGGUCUCCGUAGGUGAACCUGCGGAGGGAUCAUUACACAAUAAACAUAUGAAGGCUGCACCGCCAACAGGCGGCAAGGCUGGAGUAUUUUAUUACCCUUGUCUUUUGCGCACUUGUUGUUUCCUGGGCGGGUUCGCCCGCCUCCAGGACCACAUGAUAAACCUUUUUUAUGCAGUUGCAAUCAGCGUCAGUACAACAAAUGUAAAUCAUUUACAACUUUCAACAACGGAUCUCUUGGUUCUGGCAUCGAUGAAAAACGCAGCGAAAUGCGAUACGUAGUGUGAAUUGCAGAAUUCAGUGAAUCAUCGAAUCUUUGAACGCACAUUGCGCCCUUUGGUAUUCCAAAGGGCAUGCCUGUUCGAGCGUCAUUUGUACCCUCAAGCUUUGCUUGGUGUUGGGCGUUUUUUGUCUUUGGUUUUGUCCAAAGACUCGCCUUAAAACGAUUGGCAGCCGGCCUACUGGUUUCGCAGCGCAGCACAUUUUUGCGCUUGCAAUCAGCAAAAGAGGACGGCACUCCAUCAAGACUCUAUAUCACUUUUGACCUCGGAUCAGGUAGGGAUACCCGCUGAACUUAAGCAUAUCAAUAAGCGGAGGAAAAGAAACCAACAGGGAUUGCCCCAGUAACG
rnacentral:rRNA from 1 species